GAUGAACGCUGGCGGUGUGCCUAAUACAUGCAAGUCGAACGAAGCCUUCGGGCUUAGUGGCGGACGGGUGAGUAACACGUUGGUACCUACCUCGAAGUGGGGAAUAACUGGCCGAAAGGUCGGCUAAUACCGCAUGUGAUCGCAAGAUCAAAGUCGUAAGACGCUUCGAGAGGGGCCUGCGUCCCAUUAGCUUGUUGGUAGUGUAAUGGACUACCAAGGCGACGAUGGGUAGCUGGAUCGAGAGGUUGACCAGCCACACUGGGACUGAGACACGGCCCAGACUCCUACGGGAGGCAGCAGUGGGGAAUAUUGGGCAAUGGAGGAAACUCUGACCCAGCGACGCCGCGUGCGGGAUGAAGGCCUUCGGGUUGUAAACCGCUUUCAACAGGGAAGAAGCGAAAGUGACGGUACCUGCAGAAGAAGCACCGGCUAACUAUGUGCCAGCCGCCGCAGUAA
rnacentral:rRNA from 1 species